rnacentral:misc_RNA from 1 species
GAGUCUCUCAAAUGGGGUUUGUCACUCCUUUGGAUUUUGGGUCUUGCUGUGAAAUUCAUCUCAGCUUACCUUGAAAGCAUUAGCAAGCAUUCUCAAGUCUUCUGUGAUGAGGGCGUUCUAAUCUCGCAAACUGGUCUGUGUAGCCAGUGGAAAAAGACGUCUAAACAUCAUUAUGAAGUGAUGCUAGCUUCCAAUCAUCCUUAUGGGAUGGGCACUCAAUGUUUUUAU